GGGCCCGCACAAGCGGUGGAGCAUGUGGUUUAAUUCGAUGAUACGCGAGGAACCUUACCAGGGCUUAAAUGUAGUGGGACAGGUCUAGAGAUAGACCCUUCUUCGGACUCAUUACAAGGUGCUGCAUGGUUGUCGUCAGCUCGUGCCGUGAGGUGUCAGGUUAAGUCCUAUAACGAGCGCAACCCCUAUCGUUAGUUGCCAGCGGGUAAUGCCGGGAACUCUAACGAAACUGCCGGUGCAAACCGUGAGGAAGGUGGGGAUGACGUCAAAUCAUCACGGCCCUUACGUCCUGGGCCUACACACGUGCUACAAUGGCCGGUACAGAGAGCAGCCACUACGCGAGUAGGAG
rnacentral:rRNA from 1 species